UUUGUAACAUAUUGUCAAAUUAAUAUUUAAGGGUUAUUUCAAGCACCAAGACAACUUCAGUGAUUUGAAGUGGUCAUGGUGCCUAGAGUCUGUAUGUUCUGCAUUUUGCUUCGUAAGGCUGCACAUGUAGAGUUUAAAAUGAAUUAGGUCCAGACACUCAGGACUGCUGCAGGAAGGCAGGUUUAUUGGAACAAAAAGUGCACUUUUUAUACCAAUAAAC